UACGUAGGUGGCAAGCGUUGUCCGGAAUUAUUGGGCGUAAAGCGCGCGCAGGCGGUCCUUUAAGUCUGAUGUGAAAGCCCACGGCUCAACCGUGGAGGGUCAUUGGAAACUGGGGACUUGAGUGCAGAAGAGGAGAGUGGAAUUCCACGUGUAGCGGUGAAAUGCGUAGAGAUGUGGAGGAACACCAGUGGCGAAGGCGACUCUCUGGUCUGUAACUGACGCUGAGGCGCGAAAGCGUGGGGAGCAAACAGG
rnacentral:rRNA from 1 species